CCCAAGCUGUCUGCUCUAGGAUGUCGGCCAGGCAUUGAGGCUCAGUCCUAAGGGGCAGCAGCCAGAGCACCUUGUCCCCAGGUUGUGCUGAUGCCCCUGCAGGAUCAGGGGCACUCACUGGCUGCAGUGUUGGGUGGGGAUGCCCAGGGUUGCCCUCACGUGGCGCUUCUGAACCAAUGCUUGCAUAAGAGUUAGGUUCCCUCUUCUGUCCCUCUUAGCCCUGGGAUCCCCACUCAGCCCUGGGAUCCCCCUCAGCCCCGGGAUCCCCUCCUCAGCCCCGGGAUCCCCUCCUCAGCCCUGGGAUCCCCCUCAGCUCUGGGAUUCCCUCCUCAGCCCUGGGAUGCCCACUCAGCCCUGGGAUCCCCCUCAGCCCUAGGAUGUCCCUCAGUUCUAGUAUCUCCUUCACCUCUGGGGGUCUACCUCCAAAGUGUAUCAGGCCAGGUGCUUGGCUCACACCUGUAAUCCCAGCACUUUGGGAAGCAAGGCAGGAGGAUCACUUGAGGUCAGGAGUUCAAGACCAGCCUGGGCAACAUAGGGAGACCCCCAUUUCUACAAAAAAUUUUUUUUAAAACCUGGUGUGGGGGUGCAGGCCUGUGGUCCCAACUACUCGGGAGACUGAGGCAGGAGGAUUGCUUGAGCUAGGGAGAUUGAGGGCUGCAGUGAGCCAUGAUCCAGCCACUGCACUCCAGCCUGGGCGACAGAGCAAGAACCUGUCUCAAAGGAAAAAGAAAGCCCAGCCCCGGCUUAGUCAUCCGAUGCCAUACGUGGGCUCGCAGUGUUGAGGAGGAGUUUGGCUCCCCUGUGCCUCUGCAGCUAGAGGGCAUCUAAAUUAUCAGUCAGAUCACGCCCCCAUCAGAGCCUCCCGGGGUCCCUGCACCUCCAGAGAAAUCCCACCCACUCACCCCCACAGCCCACAGGGCUCACGGGCCCCAGCCUGCCAACCUACCCACUGCCAGGCCAGCCCCUCAGCACCACUCUGACCAUACAAAGGCCUUCUGGAUGCCCAGGCCCCUGUCACCUACUGCAGGACAGGGUGGCACAGGCAGGGCUGGCUGAGGGCGUGGAAAUCUUGCCCCCGGCCCUUCUCACCAGAGGCUGUUCUUGCUGGUCAGUCACCAGGCUCAGCCUGGAGGCCACAGUCCCGACGGGGGUGUAGAGAAAUUCCCAUGCACUGCAGUGUGUCUUGGGGACCUUUCUCCUGUGAAGAUGCAGAAUGGUGCUGACUGGCUCUUUCCCCCCCAGCUCUACAGUCUGCUGGAGAGGAUCAACCCGGACCACAGCUUCCCUGUCAGCUCGCACUGCCUCCGAGCAGCCGCCUUCUAUGUGCGUGGGCUCUUCUCCUUCUUCCAGGGACGCUACAACGAGGCCAAGCGAUUUCUGCGGGAAACUCUGAAGAUGUCCAAUGCUGAGGACCUGAACCGGCUCACAGCCUGCUCCCUCGUGCUCCUGGGCCACAUCUUCUAUGUGCUGGGAAACCACAGGGAGAGUAACAACAUGGUGGUGCCUGCCAUGCAGCUCGCCAGCAAGAUCCCGGACAUGUCGGUACAGCUGUGGUCGUCAGCACUGCUGAGAGACCUGAAUAAAGCCUGUGGGAACGCCAUGGAUGCCCAUGAAGCCGCCCAGAUGCACCAGAACUUCUCGCAGCAGCUGCUCCAGGACCACAUUGAGGCCUGCAGCCUCCCCGAACACAACCUCAUCACGUGGACAGACGGUCCACCCCCCGUGCAGUUCCAAGCUCAGAAUGGACCCAACACCAGCCUGGCCAGCCUCCUGUGAGGCCUUGAUGGGGCCAUCCAGCUCCGCAGAGCCUGCGCGUCUCCGGCUUCCACCCAGACGGCACUCAAGCCUGCCCCCGAGGCGUGCUUCCUUCCUGAUUGUCUCUAGAGCUUCCAAGUCCUGGGAAUGUGCGGGGCCAGUCCCUGCCCUCCCAGGAGGGGUGGUAGCCGUUCCCACCUCGCACCAGGACCCCCAGUGCAGAGGCUCACAGGUGGCACACAGGCGCUGUCUCUCCAGAGCCAUCCUUCAGAGUGGACCUCAGUGCCAGUCCUGCCUCAGCAUCUGGGUCACGUCGGCCAAGAGUAGGGUGCAGGCCUCCAGCAGGUCCUAAUCCUGUGUGCCAGGGCAGGCAGUGCCCCAGGGGCACCACGCCUGACUCUCCAUCACCCAGGCCUUGAUGCCGAGCGGGAGUAGAGUGUUUCCUCUGCUCAAGGCAAUUUCCAGAGCCCGGAUGCCAGUUUCUGGCCUGAAUUUGGAGGGAAGAAGUAAUGGCCCUAGUGUGGGACGAAGCACAGAUCCCAGCACUUUUCCCAGCUUUCUCUCCAGCAUCGGUCCCUGCAGCAGCUGGGGCCUCUGGUCAGGAACCCUCAGGGACCCAGGAACUCAGCUUCCAAACAUCUGCACCUUGACCGGACUCGCCAUCCCACUGUGGGGGUGCAGGUGAUUGUAAACACGGGUCUGCAUGUGGAUGCACACGGGUGUGCGGUGAAGAUCUGUGGAGAUGGAGCUGGGAGCUGAGGCUCCUGUUGCACCAGCCACCUUCCCCCAUCUUGUGGCUGCUGAGGGGCAGGAAGCGGGGGAGUGGGCUUGUCUCCUAAAUUUAAGAUCACCUCCUCAGCUAGCUUAGAGUGCAUGGCACGGGCCCCCCGCCCCCGAGAUCUGGAGCCCAGGGACUUUCUUCCUGGCAGAUCUGUGGCCUUCCCUGCUCAGCCUCUUGGUCCCCCCACUCCCUCCACCGCCUCACUUUCCCUGCUGGGUCUCUGGGGCACAGUGUGAAACCCGCACCCUAGCCAGGCCCCAGGGAGCCUCCGCUGGGCCCAGACAGCAGCGUUUGGUUUUAUCCACUUUUCUUGGAUAAUCAGGAGGUGCCCCAGUGGUCACAGUGUGGCAUUCCGAGUUGGCGCGGGUGGUCGGGUCAAGAUAGCAGCAGCAGGUGUCAGGGCUCAAGACACCACCCCCUCCAGCUUCUGGGGCCCAGGAGCCUCUCCCUGCUACAGGGGGUGGGGCUCCUGCUCAGCAGGGUAGGUGGUGGUUUUAGGUCUUGUCACCCUCGCUCAGUGGAACUGCCUCUGGGAGCUUUGGCGUCUGUGACUAAAGGGACGCUGGAUUGCUCAGGUCAGCUGCUCAGGGCUCCCAGGCUGGGUGUGCCUUAGCCACAGGCAGGGCUGUCAAUAACCCCCUUCCUCACUGGCCACCACCUGACAUCAGCACCAGUGACAGGCUGGUCAGAGGGCGGGGCUGGUGAGGGUUUGUCCUAAGAGGACCACUGCCAUCUCUGGGUCUCCAGGGGGAGAGCCUGGCCCUGUCCUUUGCUACCCAGGGCUGCCCCCAGGCCCAUGAAGCCAGUAGGAGAGCGUGUGGCACUGGCCCACAAAGUGUCCCUGUCCUGUCUUCCUCCCGAGCCAUGGCCUCUGCUAGCUCCACCUUGAAGGAGCCCCCCACAUCCUCCCCUACAUCCCAGAGAUGCCACCACUUGUGUCUCCACAAUGUGCUCCUGCCCAUCCGGGUUCCGCACUGUCCGACCCCUGCACACCACUCAUGUCACCAUGGCGUGCAUCAUGUUCAUCCCCAUCUAUUUAUUUAAGCCUUUCUUUGCUUGUAGGGCAUUUUGUAUGUAGAGCAGUUGAAAACAGAACCUCAGAACUUAACAUCUGUCCUGAUGUUAAAGUGCUUUUCAUGACCACCCUGUUAUCUAUGUAUAUGUAAAGUUAAGGAUGAGAUCUUAAGUUUACAAUUAAAAACUCAGUACUCAAUAUUU
rnacentral:sRNA from 1 species